ACCAAGUUUAUAGAAAAAAUCUACUAACAUUUACAACUCCAAAUUAUUUUUAUUCAAUUUGUAAUUAUAUUGUAUAUGCCGUAUAUUUACAACUUCUUCUUAGGGCUUAUUUGAAUUAUGGGAAAAACCAGAGGAAUAGAAAAAACAUAGGAUUACAAUGUCAUGAUAUGUUGAAUACUACAGGAAUAGAAAACUCAAGAAUUGCUUGAAAGAGGUGUUUGGAUGGUGCGCAUGAAAAAUAAAGGAACGUUGAUACUAGAUGAUACUUAAUUGGACUAAGAGAUGAGAGAGAUAGGGAGGAAGAUGCAUUGAGACUUCCAAAAGGAAACUUUUCAUGAGGUCUAACCUCAUAUUUGGAUUCCUUCAAAAUUUAGACGAACAUAAAUCAUAUCCUAUGAAAAUCCUGCGUGCAAUCCUUCCAAAAGGGUUUGUAUAGGAAAAAAAAAUUCCCCGUUAGGAUUAGAAUCCUCUAUUUCCCCUCGAAAAAAUCCUAUGAUCCAAAGAACCCCUCAUGGCGUAUUUUCUUUUAACUCUUGUUGAUCAAUCGAUGGCCAAUAAAGUAAAGUUUUUUUUGGCUGCGCUUACAUAAAUUUGGUGUGUUUUAUGUUCUGUCAUCGGCCUAGCCAGGAAGGAUGUCUAAGUAUCAAGUUUGUCAUAUUAGCUGUUGAUAUGUCACUGUUGUCAAAAUAAGGAAUUAACUUUUCUACUCUUGAUGCGUAAUAUACAAAGGUAUAUAAGGGACAGUAUGAAGUUAAGUAGGACUAUAUCUUUCAUUCAUAUGAAAAGAGCUCCAUGGACUCCGGGCUGUCUCUCCUAUUACUCCUAUAUGGAUGACGUAAAAUCAAAAGUAAAAAACUAAAAUUUAUUUUAAAAGUUGGUAAAGAAAAAAUUAAAACCACAAUUAGAAGUUGAUAAAAGGAAAAGUGUGGAAAAAAAAAGAAAAAAGUCAAGAGAAGGAAAAUAAAACGUAGGCCAAAAAAGGCACAAAAGAACUUCCUCAAAAUUCUGGUUUUGUAAUGCUUCUUGUUAAAAUGUACAAAUUUAAAAUUAUAAAGCAUGUUUCAUGUGUGUGUCUCUCCGUGCAUGUAUUAAUUCUCUAACAUUAAUUAUUUUGAAUGCAUUGUGCCAUUUUUGUUUGGGUACUAACACCUUUUACUUUUAUGUCAACACUUUUUCUUGGUACUAGUGUGUUUGAGUAUCAAAUCUAGCCCAUUCUACGUGCUCCGAUCCGUUCCACAAAACAACUCGCGUAGAUUUUUUGUUUUGUUCCACAAACAACUCUUUUUUUCUCUUGACUUCCACAUCUAGCCAAUAAGAGUUCAUAUUCAUUUAGUAUUAAUCCAAUGUGAGUGGUCGGGCACUAGAAACGAGAGCUGUCUUGGUCCAAUUGCACAAAUCUAUAUGAGAUGUUUUGUG
rnacentral:lncRNA from 1 species